rnacentral:rRNA from 1 species
AGCGGGCAUCCGGGGAGUCAGGACAGACCUCAAAGGGAAAAUCAGACGUAACGUAGGGUUGGCGUCCACUGAGGAGGUUAGUCUUGAGUAAAACAGAAGACUUGCCGCAUGCUCAAGGUGCGGGAAAGGAAUGAGUAGCUGGAAAGCAUAGCUGAGGCGUCACUCAUUGCGAAGGGAGAAUUCGUGG